rnacentral:rRNA from 1 species
CAAUUUAAACAACGAAGAGUUUGAUCCUGGCUCAGGAUGAACGCUAGCGACAGGCUUAACACAUGCAAGUCGAGGGGCAGCACAGGUAGCAAUACCGGGUGGCGACCGGCGCACGGGUGAGUAACGCGUAUGCAACUUGCCUAUCAGAGGGGGAUAACCCGGCGAAAGUCGGACUAAUACCGCAUGAAGCAGGGAUCCCGCAUGGGAAUAUUUGCUAAAGAUUCAUCGCUGAUAGAUAGGCAUGCGUUCCAUUAGGCAGUUGGCGGGGUAACGGCCCACCAAACCGACGAUGGAUAGGGGUUCUGAGAGGAAGGUCCCCCACAUUGGUACUGAGACACGGACCAAACUCCUACGGGAGGCAGCAGUGAGGAAUAUUGGUCAAUGGCCGAGAGGCUGAACCAGCCAAGUCGCGUGAGGGAUGAAGGUUCUAUGGAUCGUAAACCUCUUUUAUAAGGGAAUAAAGUGCGGGACGUGUCCCGUUUUGUAUGUACCUUAUGAAUAAGGAUCGGCUAACUCCGUGCCAGCAGCCGCGGUAAUACGGAGGAUCCGAGCGUUAUCCGGAUUUAUUGGGUUUAAAGGGUGCGUAGGCGGCCUUUUAAGUCAGCGGUGAAAGUCUGUGGCUCAACCAUAGAAUUGCCGUUGAAACUGGGGGGCUUGAGUAUGUUUGAGGCAGGCGGAAUGCGUGGUGUAGCGGUGAAAUGCAUAGAUAUCACGCAGAACCCCGAUUGCGAAGGCAGCCUGCCAAGCCAUUACUGACGCUGAUGCACGAAAGCGUGGGGAUCAAACAGGAUUAGAUACCCUGGUAGUCCACGCAGUAAACGAUGAUCACUAGCUGUUUGCGAUACACUGUAAGCGGCACAGCGAAAGCGUUAAGUGAUCCACCUGGGGAGUACGCCGGCAACGGUGAAACUCAAAGGAAUUGACGGGGGCCCGCACAAGCGGAGGAACAUGUGGUUUAAUUCGAUGAUACGCGAGGAACCUUACCCGGGUUUGAACGCAUUCGGACCGAGGUGGAAACACCUUUUCUAGCAAUAGCCGUUUGCGAGGUGCUGCAUGGUUGUCGUCAGCUCGUGCCGUGAGGUGUCGGCUUAAGUGCCAUAACGAGCGCAACCCUUGCCACUAGUUACUAACAGGUAAAGCUGAGGACUCUGGUGGGACUGCCAGCGUAAGCUGCGAGGAAGGCGGGGAUGACGUCAAAUCAGCACGGCCCUUACAUCCGGGGCGACACACGUGUUACAAUGGCGUGGACAAAGGGAAGCCACCUGGCGACAGGGAGCGAAUCCCCAAACCACGUCUCAGUUCGGAUCGGAGUCUGCAACCCGACUCCGUGAAGCUGGAUUCGCUAGUAAUCGCGCAUCAGCCAUGGCGCGGUGAAUACGUUCCCGGGCCUUGUACACACCGCCCGUCAAGCCAUGGGAGCCGGGGGUACCUGAAGUCCGUAACCGCGAGGAUCGGCCUAGGGUAAAACUGGUGACUGGGGCUAAGUCGUAACAAGGUAGCCGUACCGGAAGGUGCGGCUGGAACACCUCCUUUCU